UACGUAGGGGGCAAGCGUUGUCCGGAUUUAUUGGGCGUAAAGAGCGUGUAGGCGGCCUGGAAGGUCAGCUGUGAAAACUCGAGGCUCAACCUCGAGACGUCGGUUGAAACCACCUGGCUAGAGUCCGGAAGAGGAGAGUGGAAUUCCCGGUGUAGCGGUGAAAUGCGCAGAGAUCGGGAGGAACACCUGUGGCGAAGGCGGCUCGCUGGGCCGGUCCUGACGCUGAAACGCGAAGGCGUGGGGAGCGAACGGG
rnacentral:rRNA from 1 species